AACGAACGCUGGCGGCGUGCUUAACACAUGCAAGUCGAACGCGAAAGGGACCUCGGUCCUGAGUAAAGUGGCGCACGGGUGAGUAACGCGUAGAUAACCUGUCUUCAUGUCUGGAAUAACUACGCCGAAAGGGGUACUAAUACCGGAUAUUCUUGCUUUUCAUAAGUUAUGCAAGCAAAGGUGGCCUCUGCAUAUGCUACUGCAUGAAGAGGGGUCUGCGUACCAUUAGCUAGUAGGUGGGGUAAUGGCCUACCUAGGCGACGAUGGUUAGCGGGUCUGAGAGGAUGAUCCGCCACACUGGCACUGGAACACGGGCCAGACUCCUACGGGAGGCAGCAGUGAGGAAUAUUGCGCAUGGGGAAACCCUGACGCAGCGACGCCGCGUGAGUGAAGGAAGGCCUUCGGGUCGUAAAGCUCUGUCAAGAGGAAAGAAGUGUACAAUGGCUAAUACCUGUUGUAUUUGACGGUACCUCUAAAGGAAGCACCGGCUAACUCCGUGCCAGCCGCUGC
rnacentral:rRNA from 1 species